AGCCCUGUUGAACUCAGAAUGGUACUAGUAGUUAAUCUGUUGCUUAUUUUGUCAUUUCAGUGUGAGUUAUCACGUUAUCUGAAAAUACACGACGUUGUAAUUUGGUCUCCCUCCAUCUAGUCCCUCGAUUGCUGAUUUCUUUUUCUUGUCUUAUCACGUUGGACAUCCAGAAUAACACUGAACAGAAAUUGUAGUAAAUGCGCCCGGUGUUGGAUCCACGGGUUAGAGUCGGCCCCCGCUGCCCUGCUCCAGACAACUUGUCCCCUCCUGGAGCCGACCAGCCCCACAACCUCUAAUGCCGUCUUCUGAAGACACCCUCGGUGCGGCUGAAACUGCCUUUCCCUUCUCCUUUCCCUCCUUGAGCACGGCCACGACUUGGGGAGAAGAGGCAGCCGUCUUGUAACAACGAGGCAACGAGGCCGAGGGGAAACGCCGGGCUGCCGGGAGACCACUUCCUCUGGGCCUCUUGGGGGGAAAUAAACCGCUAU